rnacentral:rRNA from 1 species
AUUGAACGCUGGCGGCAUGCCUUACACAUGCAAGUCGAACGGUAACGCGGGGCAACCUGGCGACGAGUGGCGAACGGGUGAGUAAUGCAUCGGAACGUGCCCAGUAGUGGGGGAUAGCCCGGCGAAAGCCGGAUUAAUACCGCAUACGACCUACGGGUGAAAGGGGGGGAUCGCAAGACCUCUCGCUAUUGGAGCGGCCGAUGUCAGAUUAGGUAGUUGGUGGGGUAAAGGCCUACCAAGCCGACGAUCUGUAGCUGGUCUGAGAGGACGACCAGCCACACUGGGACUGCGACACGGCCCAGACUCCUACGGGAGGCAGCAGUGGGGAAUUUUGGACAAUGGGCGCAAGCCUGAUCCAGCCAUGCCGCGUGCGGGAAGAAGGCCUUCGGGUUGUAAACCGCUUUUGUCAGGGAAGAAAUCUUCUGAGCUAAUACCUCGGGAGGAUGACGGUACCUGAAGAAUAAGCACCGGCUAACUACGUGCCAGCCGCCGCAGUAACAC